UACGAAGGGGGCUAGCGUUGCUCGGAAUCACUGGGCGUAAAGGGUGCGUAGGCGGGUCUUUAAGUCAGGGGUGAAAUCCUGGAGCUCAACUCCAGAACUGCCUUUGAUACUGAGGAGCUUGAGUCCGGGAGAGGUGAGUGGAACUGCGAGUGUAGAGGUGAAAAUUCGUAGAUAUCGAGAGGAACACCGGUGGCGAAGGCGGCCAACUGGACGAAUACUGACGCUGAGACUCGAAAGCGUGGGGAGCAAACAGG
rnacentral:rRNA from 1 species